UUAGAGCUGUGAGCACUAUAUAAGGAAAGCAAGAGAGAAAAAAAGUCACAUUUCAAGGAAUGAGAGAGAAAAGGCUGGAUUUACUGGCAAAAGCACCUGAGCUUCUGAAGAAACAAAGGGAGAAACCAGUUAAGUUAGAAGAAAACCCUGAAGCUACUUUUUAGAUGCCAGACUUGGUACUAGGAGGGAAAAGAAUUAGAGAUGAAGAUGCUGAAGUUUGGACUUGGACUCAGAGACCCAUUCUCAGCAGAAUGAGGCUGGCAGGAAAACUGCCAGGGACAGAAGAAAACCACAAGCCCCUGACUUCUCAUGCCCUAAGCAGCAACCAAACCAGGACCCUCCCCAUCAGCUUACUAAAAAUCUUGCCCAGAACUCCGAGGACACCAACCAUUUUGCUUAUACAUCUGCCUUUGAAGUAUGAAAGUGUCAAAAGCAGUAGUCCCUGAUUAAAAA